GAUGAACGCUAGCGGCAGGCUUAAUACAUGCAAGUCGAGGGGGAUCAGCUGGGUAGCAAUACUCGGCUGUGAGACCGGCAAACGGGUGCGGAACACGUACGCAACCUUCCCAAAACUGGUGAAUAGCCCUCCGAAAGGAGGAUUAAUACACCGUAACAUAAUGAGAUGGCAUCAUUUUAUUAUUAUAGCUCCGGCGGUUUUGGAUGGGCGUGCGCGUGAUUAGGUAGUUGGCGGGGUAACGGCCCACCAAGCCUGCGAUCAGUAACUGGUGUGAGAGCACGACCAGUCACACGGGCCCUGAGACACGGGCCCGUCUCCUACGGGAGGCAGCAGUAAGGAAUAUUGGUCAAUGGACGAAAGUCUGAACCAGCCAUGCCGCGUGAAGGAUGACGGCCCUCUGGGUUGUAAACUUCUUUUAUCUGAGACGAAAAAAGAUCAUUCUUGAUCACUUGACGGUACCAGAGGAAUAAGCACCGGCUAACUCCGUGCCAGCAGCCGCCGUAAGAC
rnacentral:rRNA from 1 species